UUUUUUUUUUUUUUUUUUUUUUUUUUUAGUAGGGACAGGGUUUCACCAUGCUGGCCAGGCUGGUCUCGAACUCCUGACCUCGUGAUCCACUCACCUCAGCCUCCCAAAGUGCUGGGAUUAUAGGCGUGAGCCACCACCCCCGGCCCGGCCUUGACAUUUUCUGUUGAGUCACAUUAAGUGGUUUUACCCCUAGGGGAUGAUGGAACUAACAAAGAAGCCACAAGCACAGGAAAGUUGAACCAGGAGAAUGAGCACAUCUAUAACCUGUGGUGUUCUGGUCGAGUGUGCUGUGAGGGCAUGCUUAUCCAGCUGAGGUUCCUCAAGAGACAAGACUUACUGAAUGUCCUGGCCCGGAUGAUGAGGCCAGUGAGUGAUCAAGUGCAAAUAAAAGUAACCAUGAAUGAUGAAGACAUGGAUACCUACGUAUUUGCUGUUGGCACACGGAAAGCCUUGGUGCGACUACAGAAAGAGAUGCAGGAUUUGAGUGAGUUUUGUAGUGAUAAACCUAAGUCUGGAGCAAAGUAUGGACUGCCGGACUCUUUGGCCAUCCUGUCAGAGAUGGGAGAAGUCACAGACGGAAUGAUGGAUACAAAGAUGGUUCACUUUCUUACACACUAUGCUGACAAGAUUGAAUCUGUUCAUUUUUCAGACCAGUUCUCUGGUCCAAAAAUUAUGCAAGAGGAAGGUCAGCCUUUAAAGC
rnacentral:sRNA from 1 species